UGACGCGAUUUAUGACAAUGACUAAGUAAUUACUAAUUAACAAUUAAAUCAAGGAACUUCAACUUGGCAGCGAACACAAGUGGGUGGACAAAGCAUUACCUAAGGCGGGUGUAACGUAAGCUUACUUUACAGCGUCUUAUUAUAACUACUAACUCGUAGUUCAAGGGGGUAAUAGUCGGUCUAACAAAUAAAAUGAUGGAAGUGACCGGUAACUUGUUGACGCUUUUACAGUGAUGGAUAGUGAUGUGCAAUGCCUCUCUUACUCUUACCCCUGCUCAGAGACUCUAUUUACACGUAUUCCGAGCUGGAACCAGCGAUGGUAUCGAUGAAUACGGAGUAGAUAAAUGUUGACAGGGAAGAUGUUCGGGUCUUAACGAUAAACAAAACGGGUAUGCGAAUCUGGUUACUAAAUUUGUCUUAAAACUGGUAGCAUAAAACUUGGAUCAAAAGCUAAAAUAGAAUCUGUAAGAUUACUGUGAUUAUGAGAUUAAUACUAACCCAGAAGGAUCUGGCUUUUGCUCUUAAGUAAACUAAAUAAUUGUACUAAUAUUAUGAUGUAUAGUUACAACGGCUGUAUCAUCCAAAGCUACCUAAAAUUAUUAACGAUUAAGUAAUUUUUAGCGUGGCGACCACACCCUUACCAGCUGAAUCUUCUAAAUCCCAAAAUAAUGAGAAUUUUCAAGGGCUAUGCUAACAACACUACUAAAGAGCCUCUUGAAAUAACCAACUACCACGAUGAAGAUUAGCUUCAAAAGUGUCCAAAAAUUGGUCAAGGUAAAGUAUACCACAAUCAGAAGAAUGUGACCUGAUAACCCCCACAAGAUAGAUGUUUAAAUUUUGAAUUUCGCGGAAAUAUAUGCAACCCAAAUUACAUGCUGUUAAUGAAAUUGAAUGUUACAAGAAGCCACGUCCUUAUAAGGUGAAAUAUUUAAACUUCAGUUUUUUUAAAAAGUUUGACGACUUGCAGUUUUUAACGUCUUUACGCCCAGGACGAAAAGUUGGCGAUCCAAGUAUAACCGAUAUAAGAGGGCUUCGUUACCUACCAGAUGGCCAGUUGUUUUACACUUUAAGACAUGGACAAGAAUACGAAAACUUAAAUAACGGCAAACGUGGAUCUUCUAAGUCUGUGUCAAUGACAGUU